GUGGUAAUGCCGGAUGUUCCAGUUGAUCGCAUGGUCUUCUGGGAAAGCUUUCGCGGUAUGGGAUGGGGUCGCGUCCUAUCAGCUUGACGGCGGGGUAACGGCCCACCGUGGCUUCGACGGGUAGCCGGCCUGAGAGGGCGACCGGCCACAUUGGGACUGAGAUACGGCCCAGACUCCUACGGGAGGCAGCAGUGGGGAAUAUUGCACAAUGGGCGCAAGCCUGAUGCAGCGACGCCGCGUGAGGGAUGGAGGCCUUCGGGUUGUAAACCUCUUUUAUCGGGGAGCAAGCGUGAGUGAGUUUACCCGUUGAAUAAGCACCGGCUAACUACGUGCCAGCAGCCGCGGUAAUACGUAGGGUGCAAGCGUUAUCCGGAAUUAUUGGGCGUAAAGGGCUCGUAGGCGGUUCGUCGCGUCCGGUGUGAAAGUCCAUCGCUUAACGGUGGAUCCGCGCCGGGUACGGGCGGGCUUGAGUGCGGUAGGGGAGACUGGAAUUCCCGGUGUAACGGUGGAAUGUGUAGAUAU
rnacentral:rRNA from 2 species